rfam:Stegodyphus mimosarum contig64782, whole genome shotgun sequence.
GCCUUCGUGGUGUAGUGGUCAACACGCUGGGCGCGUAUUCCACAGGUCCGUGGUUCGAGUCCCGGCGAAGGCG